rnacentral:tRNA from 1 species
UGAUAAUUAGUUUAAACUAAAACAAGUGAUUUCGACUCACUAGAUUAUGUACUGACAUAAUUAUCAA